AAGUCGUAACAAGGUUUCCGUAGGUGAACCUGCGGAAGGAUCAUUAGUGAACUGUUGAGGAGAGUUAUUUCGGUAACUCUCUUCAUUCUUGUGAACUGCAAGUAAGUUGGUUCUUUUCAGAUGGCUGUUUCUUUUGAUUAGUACUAUUUCCUUUUGGGUUGUUUUCGAGUAGUAUUAAUUGGGCGGAACAAGUAGCUGAAAGGGAGUAACUUGCUUUUAAUUUUCUGUUUGUAAUUUUUUUUCUUAUUUUCAAUAAGACAACUUUCAGCAAUGGAUCUCUUGGCUCUU
rnacentral:misc_RNA from 1 species